rnacentral:lncRNA from 1 species
GCUGCUGCUAUGGGCCGAGCAAGACAUGGUGCAAGAAGAGAAGGUCACAGAAGCAGGUCAUCAACUCAAGGUCAUCCACAGCUCAGGGUGUUCUCUCCGCAUUCCAAUGCUUCUCCACCUCAUCCUCCAAUGCCUUCCUCUCCAUCCCAAAGAGAUGAGAGUGAAACAAUCACAAACCUUCCUAUCUCUCAUCAAAAUACUUUAGGGGAGGGAUCUCUUCAUUCAAACAUGCAGCCACCAACUUCUUCUCAACCCCGCCAGGUUUCUCCUUCAAACAGCAGGUCUCCUAAUCAGCAUACCUCUAGUGAUCAAGAUAGAGCUGGACCAUCAGAGCUCCAAUCAUUUUCAGAAUCUCUAAAGUCUCGACUAAAUGCUGUCUCAAUGAGGUAUCCCAUCUCUAUCCAGCUGCCUUUGGUCUGUAUAUGUUUUUGUAACAAUCCGAAGUGGUUCCUUAUGAACAAUGUAGAUACAAAGAAUCAAUAUCAAAGAACACAAGGAGCUGGAAAGAUAGAUUCUUUUCACGCAGCACUUCCAUUGCAGAUCUUGGCUCUGAGGUUAAAAGAGAGGUCAGUGCCGGAAUAGCCACUGUGUCCCGCAUGAUGGAACGUUUAGAAACGAGAGAAGACAGUACUAGACCAGGGACUGAACCUGUAUCAGAAAACAACACUAAUGCUGAAUCAAACAAUAACUCUUCUGCGAUUCUGAUCCUUCAACUGUAUGUCGUCUCAAUAUUAUAAUUUGUUUGUUUUUGAGUGACAUUGAUUGAUUACCAGUUUUUUUAUCUUUAAUCUGUCGCAGUUGACUAGUUGCAAGCAUGAGUUUCAUCUUCAAUGCAUCCUUGAGUGGUAAGAGAAAAGAUAAACUCUCAUGCCUUUUGUAUCCUUGUUUCUUGUUUGUGUGAGAGCUGAUUAGAUCAUGUGGCAUUUGUGUUUCAGGUGUCAAAGGAGUUCACAGUGCCCAAUGUGUUGGCAAUCAAUUAGUCUCAAAGAUCCCACUAGGUUCCUUCUCUCUCCUUGUAAUACAUUUUAGUUCUUUUUGUUCUGCUGGAUGUUUGAGAUAUGUGUGUGUGUUUCCCUGUUUCACCAGUCAGGAGUUGCUUGAGGCUGUUGUACAGGAGAGGAGUUUCCGCUUCAAUCCACCUAGAAACGCCACCAUAUUUCGUCAUCCAACUCUUGGUGAUUUUGAGUUACAACAUGUAUGUGUCUCUUUUAUCAUAAACAUUUUAGGUUUGGGCACAAAUUUUUUUAAAAAAACGUUUGGUUUUGUAUAUUUUUAAACAAAAACAUCAUUAACUAUCAGCUUAACCACUUUUCAACCAACAAAAAAAACGACAGAAUAUAAAAGUCAUAAAACAUAAAAAUCCAAUAAAUUAUACAUUGAAAAUUGAAAACUGAAAACCUCAUGUAAUUUAAAACAAAUUUUGUUUUUCUAAAAUGUCAUUUUUUGAAAAAAGGAGGGAGUAUCUUACAUCUCUUUUGCUAGUGGAUUAACAAGAGUGAAUAUUAUUUUAAGUUUGAUUACUUCUCUUUUGCUAGUGGGUUAACUAAAGAGAGAGCUCCAUUUUGUUACAUUUUUCUUGAAAUGCAGCUCCCAGUAGGGGUGGAUAAUGCAGAGAUUGAAGAACGUAUCAUUCAGCACUUGGCUGCUGCUGCUGCUAUGGGCCGAGCAAGACAUGGUGCAAGAAGAGAAGGUCACAGAAGCAGGUCAUCAACUCAAGGUCAUCCACAGCUCAGGGUGUUCUCUCCGCAUUCCAAUGCUUCUCCACCUCAUCCUCCAAUGCCUUCCUCUCCAUCCCAAAGAGAUGAGAGUGAAACAAUCACAAACCUUCCUAUCUCUCAUCAAAAUACUUUAGGGGAGGGAUCUCUUCAUUCAAACAUGCAGCCACCAACUUCUUCUCAACCCCGCCAGGUUUCUCCUUCAAACAGCAGGUCUCCUAAUCAGCAUACCUCUAGUGAUCA